rnacentral:lncRNA from 1 species
CGAUACGAAGGGGCCGUUUUGUCUCCAGGUGUGGGAGGCACACCUGGCUUAGACAAUCUAGGACCUUGCCUCCUUAGAAAUGGAACUGACAGCACAGACCCACCUAGCAAGGGCUGCUACUUAUUGACUUUAAUUGCAUGUCAGGCACAGCUGUAAACACUUUGCAGCUCUUGUAUGAUCCUUGCUGCACUCUCUGGAGGUUACUGUUCUUUUUUCCCACUUAUGGAGUGAGUUAAUGUAUACUGAGCUUAUUUAUUUAUUGGUUUAUUUUUUCAGAUUUUACAUUUAUUAAGUGAAGGAGAGAAUUAAUGUAGGUAGAGUUUAGUGCACUCAAGAUCCCAGAGACAGUAAAAAGCAAAAGCAGAAUUUAAACUCUGGAGCUACAUGUCUUCCUCAUUAUACUGAACUAUUUCAAGAAGAUUACCCAAAUAGGAAAAGAACCAAAGGAUGAGGACUGUUCUCCCCUGCCCAGCCCUCUGCUGGAACAAAACUCCAUAACUCGGGUUUAUUCAUGAGGCUAGCCUUUGGCUUCUCUCAGUAGGUCAUGAAUUUGAAUGUCUUUUUCUACUCUGUGUGUGUGGUUUUUUUGUUUUGUACUUUAAAAAAUUUUAACAAGAUAAAUAUCCUAGAAGGAAAAGCACUGUUUUACUUAGACAAAUACAUCCCAGAAUAUUUACAGGCUUAAAAAAUACCAUUGGAUCAUCUGCCUGGUUCUUUACAAAAGCUGAAAGUAAAACUGCAUGAUUUGGUAAAAACUUUUCAAUGAGACAGGUAUUGUAAGGAUCCACAGAUGAAUUGCAUAUUCUGCAAUUGUUUCUCCAAAAUAAAAGUACAUGGUAUCGUUUUAUUAUUACAAUUAUUAGGUUCUGUACUAAGUGACUUAGACAUAUUUUCUCACAUUGAUAUGCAUGCAUGUCAUAGUUACUGCUAUCAGGUAUCAGUUAUCUAUUGUCACAGCAAUGUUACAUAACAAAAUCCCACAAAGCCUCAGUGGCAAAAGCAAGUAUUUAUUGCUUAUACAGGUAGGUUGACUGGCGAAGUGGAUCUGCCAACCUUGACUGGAUCAGCUCAUGACACCAGCUCUUUGGAUCACUGAGACUGAUCUAGCCUGGCCUUAGCUAGAAUAAACAAGGCAAUCCAGCUCCUCCAUUUUUCUCUCAUUCUCCAGCAGGCUGGGCUGGACCUGUUCUGUCGGUGACUGCAAGCUCUGAUUGCAAGCUCCACACAAGCCUAACUGCAAUGUGUCGGCUAAUGGAAAGCAAGCCAAAUAGAUAAAUGUGAGGAUGUGGAAUUAUGCGCUGCAUCCCAUGGAAGAGUAUUGGAGAAUAGCAUGGCAAAAGGCUCCUCCAAUUCAGGAAAGCCUAAAUUGGAUGCAAGAGAUGAAAAAGGCUUCAGCUGCUUCUAUAGAAGUUACUGAAAUCUUCAGACUCCAGCCCAGAUGACAAGGAUGGAAGCACACAGGAAGCUGAGGAUAAGAAAGUCAAGUUCAUGGAGUUCUGUUGUGGUACAGUGGGAUAAGGAUCUGGCAUUGUCACUGCAGCAGCUCAGGUCAAUGUUGUGGUGCAGGUUCGAUCUCUGGCCUGGGAAUUUCCAUGUGCUGCAGGCGCAGCCCCCUCCCCCCACCCCCACAAAAAGAAUGUCAAGUUCUUGGCUUUUAUGUGCAAAAAUCCUCAGCCCAAACAUGAGAUAGGAAUGGUUUGGGAGAAGAUGAAAUUGGGCAUCACUGGUCCCGGUCAUGAGCAGAUGAAGAGCCUCUAAGCUGGAGAAGGGGAGAGAGUUUGAGAAGGAUUGCGAAAGUUAGAUUCCAGAACAAAGGACCUUGUAGUUUGCUUCCCAGGUUGAGCCAAGUCGUUUAUGGGAUAGAAGAGGAGAGAAAUGCCACAGGGUUCAGAGGUUGCUCAGGUAGGGGUAUCCUGAAGCAGGGCAUUUGGUCUGGAAUUCUCUUUUGGCAGGAAUAUAGUUAAUAAUGCAAAGGAUUUAAAUAUAAACACACCAUUUGUUGACCUUUUUAAUAAGAAUCAUGGAAAUAGAAUUUGUAAGGAUUUCUGUGCUCAUGUGACGAAAAUCCUGCAGAUUGUAUACCUGUGUGUGAAGUUGCCUGUUUUACGAAUCCUGAUAUGAUAAUAAGUAACUUGUCUGACUUCAUUAGAGAAAAAAGUAAGUUAUCUUUGUAAUCUCUUCAUUGAAAAAUCGUAUCAUAAAAACCAAGUAUGAGUCAAAAAAGGAAAGGAAAAAUUCAUGUAGAGGUGACGCAGGCAAUUAAUGACUAAGAAUAUUUGUUACUUUUCUGGAUUUUUCUGUUUGUGAUGUUUGUCAGCUUUGCAAAAUCAGUGAUUUGUUGUGAGUACAUGUUCCUGUGUGUAUCUCAUUUUUAGUGUAUAAUUUAUUAUUGAGUUCUUUUUCUUAAAAAGGGCCUCCAAUCUGCUGUCGCACAAAGCUGUGUUUAUUGCUGAUUCAGUUAUAGGAAAAAAAAAAAAAGAAUAGCAAUCUUGGCACAGUGGAAUUCAUGUCUUAAAAAUACACUCAUGGAGUUCCCAUUAUGGCUCAGUGGGUUAAGAACCUGACAUAGUCUCUAUGAGGAUGCGGGCUCAAUCCUUGGCUUCACUCAGUGGGUUAAGGAUCCUGUGUUGCUCUAAGUUGCUGGCCUGGGUUGCAGAUGUGGCUUGGAUCCCGAGUUGCCGUGGCUGUAGUGUAGGCUGGCAGCUGUAGCUCUGAUUUGACCCCUAGCCCAGGAACUUCCAGAUGCCAUAGGUGUGGCCGAAAAGAGAAAAAAUGAAUUUUUGUCUUUAAGGUUGAUAUUCAUUUUUAGGUUUCUUUUUCUGUGUGAUGUGUUUGGUUUGGUAUUAGCAGAAGUGCCCCCAGGCUGUGUAGGGCUCCAGGCAAUUUUUUUUUUUUUUGGCCAGGCCUUUGGCUAUAUUAAAUAAUCUGAUUAAAAAUGUAUUAUAAAAUCCAUGGGGCCUUUGUGAAGUAUAGGUAGAAAAGACAUACUUAAGGAUUUGUUUAUUGUCUAAUUAGUGCACAUAAAAUUUCUUUAUAGUAUCCGUCUCUUCCUAUUUAAGUUCAAGAAUCAUUUCUUCCAGUUCUUUAUUAUCAAAUGCAUGACUUCUGGCUUAUUUAUCUCCCAACUAGAGACAAUGUAACAAUGCUACAUUACUGGAAAAGCUAGAAUCUGUUUGCCAGGAAACAACAUAGGUCUUCUUACCUCUGCAGAGCUCUGCUACCUUUUAUUUAAUGCUGACCACACCAUUACUCAUCAUGUCACAUCCCGCAUCUCCCACCAUGAAUACUGGCUUCCAGUGACACCCAGUGAAAGUUGUCACUCUUCUUUGUUGACAAUGGCUACAAAUGCAGGUCUCACCCCAGGUGUGCAGGGAAAUGUGACUGAUGUUUCUUUUUCUGGUCAUGUUCAGUGUACUGUUUGGAAUUUUCGAGAAUGAAGGUAGAAGUCUUUAGACUCUAAACAGUACGUUUCUAGAAUGUGAUCCUUCUCCAUGUCGAUCACAUCGCUGCCAUUAGCUGGGAGAAGACUUGAGGGGCCUAUGGGUAGAGCAGGAAGGGCAGCCCCAUGUGUCCCAGGAAAGCCCACAGUCAUCUGGUAUGUCUUUAAACCAUCCUGAGGUAGCAUGGCCACUCCAAUAGAGAGGAGAGGGAGAAAUCAAUCAGACGGGUAAUGGGUGGGCAGAGCAGUGGUCUCAAAUCCCCUGAGAAAAGGGUGUGACCGCUUCCAGAGGACUGCCUGACGGUCACAUGGAGUCUGCAGAAGGGCCUGGGGAACCAACCUGGAUGCCAGAGUGGGGACUGUGUGGGAUAAAGCAUUAUCCUGCUGCCUUCAGGGGCUGUGGUCAUGGGCAGCACAGUGGUCAGAACAUAGGGGGGUGAGAGUCAAGGUCUGGUUCAAAUAGGUGGCAAACCCAAGGGUUGGCAGAACUCUUAGUAGCCCAGAGACCUAAACUUGCUAUGUGUCUGACAUAUGUGAGAGUGGCUCAAAAUCAGCAUAGCAGCUCCAUUCUGGAGGCCCAAUCUUCCAUGGCCCUUCCAAAACAAUAUUGUGUUAGGCAGAGGGAGCAAUCUGCUUGCCAGGCCUCCUUCCUGGAACCAGAGCUUUGCCACUGGGCUCUUGCGUGGACUCGAUAGGUAGGAAUCCCUGAGCAAACAGGGGUAUAUUUGAGUCUAGGUGAAGGGUAGAGGGUCUGAUAAGAAAGAAUAUGGGAGAAGGACCUAGGAGAGUCCAAGUCCAAUCUCAAGCCACCCUGCCCAAGUGUCAUUGGUACCACCAGAGGGGACCUAGAAGGUCUUAAGUAGUGCACUCCAAAGUAUGGAACUACCUGGGGCUUAAGGGUCCACGGCAAGGACCCCGCUGGCUUGGGUCUAAGAGCAGUACUGGAUAUUGGUACUGUAGACUGUAUGAUUCAUAUUAUUUCUUCUUUAAAUGUCUCCCCCCCACUUUUAUUGAGAUAUAAUUGACAUAUAACACUGUAUUAUUUAAUAAGUACAACAUGAUGGCAUAAUGAUAUAUGUAUAUAGUGCAGAAUAAUUAGCACAAUAAAAUUAGUUAACACCCAUCAUCUCACAUAGUUAUAAUUUAUUUUCUUGUAACAAGAACUUCGGAGAUGUACUCUCUUAGCAGCUUUGAAAUAUACAGUAUUGUUAACUGUAGUUACCCUGUUGUAUAUUACUUUCCCCAAAGUGAUUUAACUUAUAACUGGAAGAUUGUAAUUUCGACCACUUUCGUCCACUUCCCUGACCCUCCACUUCCCACUUCUGGCAACCUCCAUUUUGGGGGAGACCUCUUGAAAGGGGGGAUUUUAUUAUUUCUUCUUCAAGUGUUUUAUGGAAUUUUCCAGUGAAGACUUCUGGGCCUGGAGUUUUCUUUGUGAGACUUGAAUUAGAAAUUAAAUGUAUUCAAAUUAUGUAGGCCAUUCAGGUUUUUCUUCAUGAGUCCAUUUUGGUAGUUUUUGCUUUUCAAGUAGUUUUGUUUAUCUAAAUUUAAAUUAUUGGCAUAAAUUUGUUCAUAAUAUUCUCUUACUACCUUUUUAAUUUCAGUGGGAUUUCGAGUGUAGUGCAGAAUUUCCCCUCUUCCAUUCCUAAUGUUGGUAAAUAUUUGUCUUUUUUUUCUUUCUUGAUCAGUUUAGCUAGAAGUUUAUCAAUUUUAUUAAUAUUUUCAAAGAGCCAUUUUUUGUUUCUUUGACUUUAUCGCUUGUUCAUUUCCUAUUUCAUUCUUAUCAUUAUUUCCUUCUGUCUUUGACUUCAGUUUUGUUUUGAUUUCUUCUUCUACCUCCUAAGGUAGAAUAUUAGAACAUUGACUUUAGACCCUUUUUUUAUAUAAUAAGUGUUUAUAGCUAUAAAUUUUCCUCUAAUCACUGUUUUAGUUGUAGCACACAAAUUUUUAUAUACUGAAUUUUCAAUUUCACUUAAUUCAUCUUAAUCUCAUUAUAGCUGAAUAACAAAUUUAAAAUGAUUUCAGUCCUUUUAAAUAUUUGAGUCAUUGUAUUGCUCAGUAUAUGGUCUGACUUUAUGUAUGUCCUAUGUGAACUUGCAAAGAAUGUGAAUUUUUUGUUUUGUUACUGUUACUUUAUUUUUUAAAUGAUUUUUAUUUUUUCCAUUAUGGUUUACACUGUUCUGCCAAUUUCUACUAUACAGCAAAGUGACCCAGUCAGAUAUAUAUAUAUUCUUUUUCUCACAUUAUCUUCCAUCGUGUUCCAUCAUAAGUGACUAGAAAUAGUUCCCUGUGCUAUACAGAAGGAUCUCAUUGCGUAUCCACUCCACGUGCAAUAGUUUGCAUCUAUUAACUCCAGACUCUCAGUCUAUCUCAUUCCCUUUCCCUCCUCCCUUGGGAAUCACAAGUCUAUUCUGCAAAUCCAUGAGUUUCUUCUCUGUGGAAAGGUUCAUUUGUGCUCUAUAUUAGAUUCCAGAUAUAAGUGAUAUCAGCCAUAAAAAAAGAACAAAAUAAUGCUAUUUGCAGCAUGGAUGGAACUAAGAUUUUCAUAUUAAGUGAAGUAAGUCAGAAAGAGAAAGACUGGAGUCUUGGCUCAGUGGUUAAUGAAUCCGACUAGGAACCAUGAGGUUGCGGGUUCGAUCCCUGGCCUUGCUCAGUGGGUUAAGGAUUUGGCGUUGCCCUGAGCUGUGGUGUAGGUUGCAGACGCGGCUUAGAUCUGAUGUUGCUGUGGCUCUGGUGUAGGCCAGUGGCUACAGCUCCAAUUGGACCCCUAGCCUGGGAACCUCCAAAUGCUGCAAGAAGCAGCCCUAGAAAAGGCAAAAAGACAAAAAAAAAAAAAAAAAAAAA